GUGAGAGUAGCUGAAGGUACUGUACGAAUAAGCACCGGCUAACUCCGUGCCAGCAGCCGCGGUAAUACGGAGGGUGCAAGCGUUAUCCGGAUUUAUUGGGUUUAAAGGGUCCGUAGGCGGGCCUGUAAGUCAGUGGUGAAAUCUCAUAGCUUAACUAUGAAACUGCCAUUGAUACUGCAGGUCUUGAGUAAAUUUGAAGUGGCUGGAAUAAGUAGUGUAGCGGUGAAAUGCAUAGAUAUUACUUAGAACACCAAUUGCGAAGGCAGGUCACUAAGAUUUAACUGACGCUGAUGGACGAAAGCGUGGGUAGCGAACAGGAUUAGAUACCCUGGUAGUCCACGCCGUAAACGAUGCUAACUCGUUUUUGGAUUUUCGGAUUCAGAGACCAAGCGAAAGUGAUAAGUUAGCCACCUGGGGAGUACGUCCGCAAGGAUGAAACUCAAAGGAAUUGACGGGGGCCCGCACAAGCGGUGGAUUAUGUGGUUUAAUUCGAUGAUACGCGAGGAACCUUACCAAGACUUAAAUGGGAAAUGACAGGUUUAGAAAUAGACCCUUCUUCGGACAUUUUUCAAGGUGCUGCAUGGUUGUCGUCAGCUCGUGCCGUGAGGUGUUAGGUUAAGUCCUGCAACGAGCGCAACCCCUGUCACUAGUUGCUAACAUUCAGUUGAGGACUCUAGUGAGACUGCCUACGCAAGUAGAGAGGAAGGUGGGGAUGACGUCAAAUCAUCACGGCCCUUACGUCUUGGGCCACACACGUAAUACAAUGGCCGGUACAGAGGGCAGCUACACAGCGAUGUGAUGCAAAUCUCGAAAGCCGGUCUCAGUUCGGAUUGGAGUCUGCAACUCGACUCUAUGAAGCUGGAAUCGCUAGUAAUCGCGCAUCAGCCAUGGCGCGGUGAAUACGUUCCCGGGCCUUGUACACACCGCCCGUCAAGCCAUGGAAGUUUGGGGUACCUGAAGUCGGUGACCGUAAAAGGAGCUG
rnacentral:rRNA from 2 species